CGGGGAUUUGCUUGAGUUAUGAAGGAGGCAUAGUAAGGAGUGGAACCAAUCUCUUGAAGUUGGCGAUUGAUUAGUAGUGCUUUACACUUUAGCGCUGGUAGCUGUAGGUUCAGCCCUCCUUGUUUCCGUGGUCUUGCCAACUGUUGCAUCGGAACGCGUGCUGGAUGUCUGUUCCAUAGUAGUAUCCCCAUAGUGGCAGUUAUUUUUGCUGAAUGCAUAUUGUACAAUGGCAGAAUCGAUGACAGAUACCAUACUUUAGAAGUAACGAAGGUGUUGAGGAGUAUCACCUUCUGAUGAAGAGUGAGCGAGCGCAAAGAAUGUAGCCGUACCUGGUGAGCUAUUUUGCCUAUCAACGUAUUCCAAUUAAGAUUGAUCAUAAUUCGUAGCGAGUUAGCAAAGAUAACGCCCAGAAUUUUGAUACUGUCCUCCGUUCUCAACCAGUCCACUUGAAUCGUAUUUUCAUUCACGAAGCCGACAUUAAUCGACGUCGUUUUAUUCAGAUGUGACGACAACGCUGAUAUCGUCCGCAUAGGCCACUAUCAAGUCGUUAUCGCACACACGCUCAAGCGAAACCAACAGAGGAUGUAGAUACAACACAAAUAAAUGCAUCGAGAUUGGAUCUCCUUGUCUCACAGAUCUUUCGAUGGGAAAAGAUGCCGUCAUGCGUCCGUUUAUCAGCAGGCGAGAAGAAGAUAGUGCUGCGAUUCGUCUAAGCAGUUCUACGAGCUGACUGUUUAUGCCAGCCUGAGGGCAUCCGUAUACUAGCACAUAGGAUUUGACAGCGUCAAACAUGUCCGGGUCGCAAAUGCAAUUUGCGACCACUGUCACUCGCGAGAAAUGCCAAACUCUCAAGCUGGUGUAAAACAAGGCACUUAACAUACUACCAGCUACUAUGUCCACGCAACAAUCAUCAUGUGUCGGUAAUCCCAGUCCCUUACUGCUCACAUUUUCGGUCUGCUGCAUCGGUAAUUGGCACUAUUAAUAACGCAACAAAGGAAGCCUCAUAUCAACAGUCCCGCUGUGAACAGCUCAACUGUGAACAUUCGAACAAUAGCAAUAUUCUUACGCCGAAAAAAGGCGACAUGUGUUGUGCAUCGAUAGAAUAGGAAUUCUCUUGCGCCUAAACGGCAACUGUGUUAUAGAUAAAACAAAUGUUUAUCGAUAGAUAGCGAUACUCUUACGCCUCAAAAUGGUAACAGUGUAAUAUACAACAAAAGUUAUCCUAAGAUAAAAAAUGUACACGAAUGAAU